AUUGAACGCUGGCGGCAGGCCUAACACAUGCAAGUCGAACGGUAACAGGAAGCAGCUUGCUGCUUCGCUGACGAGUGGCGGACGGGUGAGUAAUGUCUGGGAAACUGCCUGAUGGAGGGGGAUAACUACUGGAAACGGUAGCUAAUACCGCAUAACGUCGCAAGACCAAAGAGGGGGACCUUAGGGCCUCUUGCCAUCGGAUGUGCCCAGAUGGGAUUAGCUAGUAGGUGGGGUAACGGCUCACCUAGGCGACGAUCCCUAGCUGGUCUGAGAGGGUGACCAGCCACACUGGAACUGAGACACGGUCCAGACUCCUACGGGAGGCAGCAGUGGGGAAUAUUGCACAAUGGGCGCAAGCCUGAUGCAGCCAUGCCGCGUGUAUGAAGAAGGCCUUCGGGUUGUAAAGUACUUUCAGCGGGGAGGAAGGGAGUAAAGUUAAUACCUGUUCUCAUUGACGUUACCCGCAGAAGAAGCACCGGCUAACUCCGUG
rnacentral:rRNA from 1 species